UGGCUUGGUGCACUUCCAUUCAGUUUAUGUGAAGUACCAUCUAGCGCAGUGUCGCUCUCACUUCCAUUAGAUGACUUCACUCUCUGGAAGAUUUUACCAAGAGUUUUCAANUUUGUCAUACGGUACUUAAUGGAUUGGACAUUUAUUUUAGAAGAUCUUGCAAUGAAUAUGCAAACACCUGGAAGAUUUUACCAAGAGUUUUCAACC
rnacentral:misc_RNA from 1 species